GAGGAGAGUCUUAAAAAAUAACACAGUAUCCACAGACAGAGAACUAUUUUUUGAUAUUCUAGUUCCUUGUUAAGAAGGGAGUUAGUAUCGCUGAACUUCCAGGAGAAGGAUAAAAGAAAAAAUUAAAAAGGGAGGCAGGUGGAUCAUAACAAUCAUGAAGGAAACAAUAACUGUUUGAUAACUUGAAGUGAGUGGCUAGUUGGAAUACUGAAGCAACUAGUGCUGUAGAACACAAUGGACUGUGGAGAUUCCUGAAUUUGACAAAGAAAAUUCUUUGUCACUGAAGAAUAGGAAGAAUUUGAUACUGUGUGUAUAUAUCUAGACUUUUCAAAAGAUUAUGAAUAAAUCAAGACUUUAUGCCUUAAUUUUUUCAUACUUAAAUAGAAGACAAAUAAAAGAAAUCAAGGUAUUAAGAACAGUGACUUUUUUUGUGUUAAUAAAAAAAGAAAGUAAUAAAAAAGAAAGUUUAUAUUUUCUACAGAAAGUAAUAACAAGGUAUUUAUCUAUAAUGUAUGUAAAGAAAUUUCUCGAUAUUAAACAUGUUUAUAAAUAUUGAACUAUAGUGUCUAUAAAUCUAUCACAAUCCUUAACCACAUCUAUGAUCAUUGUUUAAGGCUAGUAGAAUAACCUGACACAUAUUGUCCUGAGAUUCCAUAGUAUAUAUCAUGAAUCAUUUUGUUUAUAAUUUUUAUCUUUAUAUCCUGCAGCAUAGUCUUAAUCUGAUUGAAAUUUUUUUUUUUUAAAUGUUACAUUUCAUUUCUAAAAAUUAAAGAUCUAAAAUCUUUGUACAAAAAAAAUGUGAAGCUACAAAAUAUUAUAUACAAAUAACAUCAAUACAUAUUUUAUUAAAAAUGUAAUGUCGAUAAGAUAUUAAUUAAAUUAUAUUACUAAACUCAUUAUAUAUCAAUAAAUACAAAAUUUUAUAGCAGUGAAUUAAAAGACUAUCUAGUCUGAAGAUUGACAUGGAUAUAUAAUUAAACUUAUUUUAUG
rnacentral:lncRNA from 1 species